rnacentral:rRNA from 1 species
GACGAGCCACACGAACGUUAUUCGGAAUUACUGGGCUUAAAGGGUGCGUAGGCGGUGCGGAAAGUUGGGUGUGAAAUCCCUCGGCUCAACCGAGGAACUGCGCCCAAAACUACCGUACUUGAGGAAGAUAGAGGUGAGCGGAACUUACGGUGGAGCGGUGAAAUGCGUUGAUAUCGUAAGGAACACCCGUGGCGAAAGCGGCUCACUGGGUCUUUUCUGACGCUGAGGCACGAAAGCUAGGGUAGCGAACGGG